GGGUUGUGAGGUUAAGCGACUAAGCGUACACGGUGGAUGCCCUGGCAGUCAGAGGCGAUGAAGGACGUGCUAAUCUGCGAAAAGCGUCGGUAAGGUGAUAUGAACCGUUAUAACCGGCGAUGUCCGAAUGGGGAAACCCAGUGCAAUUCGUUGCACUAUCGUUAACUGAAUACAUAGGUUAACGAGGCGAACCGGGGGAACUGAAACAUCUAAGUACCCCGAGGAAAAGAAAUCAACCGAGAUUCCCCCAGUAGCGGCGAGCGAACGGGGAGCAGCCCAGAGUCUGAAUCAGCUUGUGUGUUAGUGGAACGGUCUGGAAAGUCCGACGGUACAGGGUGAUAGUCCCGUACACCAAAAUGCACAGGCUGUGAACUCGAAGAGUAGGGCGGGACACGUGGUAUCCUGUCUGAAUAUGGGGGGACCAUCCUCCAAGGCUAAAUACUCCUGACUGACCGAUAGUGAACCAGUACCGUGAGGGAAAGGCGAAAAGAACCCCGGCGAGGGGAGUGAAAAAGAACCUGAAACCGUGUACGUACAAGCAGUGGGAGCACCUUCGGGUGUGACUGCGUACCUUUUGUAUAAUGGGUCAGCGACUUAUAUUCUGUAGCAAGGUUAACCGUAUAGGGGAGCCGCAGGGAAACCGAGUCUUAACUGGGCGUUAAGUUGCAGGGUAUAGACCCGAAACCCGGUGAUCUAGCCAUGGGCAGGUUGAAGGUUGGGUAACACUAACUGGAGGACCGAACCGACUAAUGUUGAAAAAUUAGCGGAUGACUUGUGGCUGGGGGUGAAAGGCCAAUCAAACCGGGAGAUAGCUGGUUCUCCCCGAAAGCUAUUUAGGUAGCGCCUCGUGAACUCAUCUUCGGGGGUAGAGCACUGUUUCGGCUAGGGGGUCAUCCCGACUUACCAACCCGAUGCAAACUACGAAUACCGAAGAAUGUUAUCACGGGAGACACACGGCGGGUGCUAACGUCCGUCGUGAAGAGGGAAACAACCCAGACCGCCAGCUAAGGUCCCAAAGUCAUGGUUAAGUGGGAAACGAUGUGGGAAGGCACAGACAGCCAGGAUGUUGGCUUAGAAGCAGCCAUCAUUUAAAGAAAGCGUAAUAGCUCACUGGUCGAGUCGGCCUGCGCGGAAGAUGUAACGGGGCUAAACCAUGCACCGAAGCUGCGGCAGCGACACUAUGUGUUGUUGGGUAGGGGAGCGUUCUGUAAGCCUGCGAAGGUGACCUGUGAGGGUUGCUGGAGGUAUCAGAAGUGCGAAUGCUGACAUAAGUAACGAUAAAGCGGGUGAAAAGCCCGCUCGCCGGAAGACCAAGGGUUCCUGUCCAACGUUAAUCGGGGCAGGGUGAGUCGACCCCUAAGGCGAGGCCGAAAGGCGUAGUCGAUGGGAAACAGGUUAAUAUUCCUGUACUUGGUGUUACUGCGAAGGGGGGACGGAGAAGGCUAUGUUAGCCGGGCGACGGUUGUCCCGGUUUAAGCAUGUAGGCUGAUUGUCCAGGCAAAUCCGGAUAAUCAAGGCUGAGGUGUGAUGACGAGGUACUACGGUGCUGAAGUAACAAAUGCCCUGCUUCCAGGAAAAGCCUCUAAGCAUCAGGUAACAUCAAAUCGUACCCCAAACCGACACAGGUGGUCAGGUAGAGAAUACCAAGGCGCUUGAGAGAACUCGGGUGAAGGAACUAGGCAAAAUGGUGCCGUAACUUCGGGAGAAGGCACGCUGGUGUGUAGGUGAAGCCCCUGCGGGUGGAGCUGAGACCAGUCGAAGAUACCAGCUGGCUGCAACUGUUUAUUAAAAACACAGCACUGUGCAAACACGAAAGUGGACGUAUACGGUGUGACGCCUGCCCGGUGCCGGAAGGUUAAUUGAUGGGGUUAUCCGUAAGGAGAAGCUCUUGAUCGAAGCCCCGGUAAACGGCGGCCGUAACUAUAACGGUCCUAAGGUAGCGAAAUUCCUUGUCGGGUAAGUUCCGACCUGCACGAAUGGCGUAAUGAUGGCCAGGCUGUCUCCACCCGAGACUCAGUGAAAUUGAACUCGCUGUGAAGAUGCAGUGUACCCGCGGCAAGACGGAAAGACCCCGUGAACCUUUACUAUAGCUUGACACUGAACAUUGAGCCUUGAUGUGUAGGAUAGGUGGGAGGCUUUGAAGCGUGGACGCCAGUCUGCGUGGAGCCAACCUUGAAAUACCACCCUUUAAUGUUUGAUGUUCUAACGUUGGCCCCUUACCGGGGUUGCGGACAGUGUCUGGUGGGUAGUUUGACUGGGGCGGUCUCCUCCCAAAGCGUAACGGAGGAGCACGAAGGUUAGCUAAUCCUGGUCGGACAUCAGGAGGUUAGUGCAAUGGCAUAAGCUAGCUUGACUGCGAGCGUGACGGCGCGAGCAGGUGCGAAAGCAGGUCAUAGUGAUCCGGUGGUUCUGAAUGGAAGGGCCAUCGCUCAACGGAUAAAAGGUACUCCGGGGAUAACAGGCUGAUACCGCCCAAGAGUUCAUAUCGACGGCGGUGUUUGGCACCUCGAUGUCGGCUCAUCACAUCCUGGGGCUGAAGUAGGUCCCAAGGGUAUGGCUGUUCGCCAUUUAAAGUGGUACGCGAGCUGGGUUUAGAACGUCGUGAGACAGUUCGGUCCCUAUCUGCCGUGGGCGCUGGAGAAUUGAGGGGGGCUGCUCCUAGUACGAGAGGACCGGAGUGGACGCAUCACUGGUGUUCGGGUUGUCAUGCCAAUGGCACUGCCCGGUAGCUAAAUGCGGAAGAGAUAAGUGCUGAAAGCAUCUAAGCACGAAACUUGCCCCGAGAUGAGUUCUCCCUGAGACUUUAAGUCUCCUGAAGGAACGUUAAAGACGAUGACGUUGAUAGGCCGGGUGUGUAAGCGCAGCGAUGCGUUGAGCUAACCGGUACUAAUGAACCGUGAGGCUUAACCUUACAACGCCGAAG
rnacentral:rRNA from 1 species